CUCCUUUCUUCUUCCCUCUUUUCUACUUGUUCUCUCCCACAGUUUCUCUCUAAAUGCUGAUAAUUUCGCCAAAUCAUUCCACAAAACUGGAUUUUCUGUUUUUAUUUAAUACUCAUUAUUUGAACCUUGGUCUUUCCAAUGAUUCUUCCUCUGCUUUGUAGGUUUUCUUCCUUGUUUCGGCAGAUGCCAGCUUUGAUACUUUUGGUAACAGUUCGGCUUUAGAUAAAUUUUUAUUGAUUUCACUAAUUGGAUUUCGUAUAAGAACUUUUGAUGGUUCGAUGGAGUUUUUCCUUCUGUGUAGAUUCUUGUGUCUUUGAAAAAAAAAUCGUAUUUCUCGUUUAUCUCUUGGAUCGUAACUUGAAGUGAUGUGAUUUCAUAGUCCGAUUAAAGAAUCUGGGUUUCUGGUAUUUUCUUGAAACUAGUUAUUUUGAAUCUAAGGUCUUCAUUCACUGUUUUGUGGCUUUCUUCUUGGCCCAAUUUCUUACACAAAUACAGUCCAUUCUGUGUACACAAUUCCAGAUCACAGACAUUGUUGUAACUAGGUAAUAUUUGCUUCGUGGUUGUCAAUAUAAUUGUUGAUUAUUUCACAUUUUUAGUUUCAAUUCAGCUUCCCUUUAAUCAUGGCUCUAUUUAAUUAUUUAUGCAUUGUUCCUUUUUUAAUUUCAUUACUUGGCUCUUAAGAUAGGUUAUUGCUUGUUUGACUAAAAUCAUACUUUAAAUAAGCCUCUGCAUCACCAGGUAAAGAUAUGAAUUCGUGGUUUCGAGACAUUAAACAUUAUUUUAUUCUAUAUUAUUUUAUUUUUUUUGUAAAUUUUUUAGUUUGAUUUUGUUAUCUAAGCUAAAAUUCAGUAGUGAAUAAUGUGUUUUCCUUAAUUUAAGUCAAUUUGUCAAUGCAAGUGACGAUAAAACAGAUAGUGACUUCAGAACUCUUUUUAGAGUAUGAUGAUUUGUCGAUGGGAAUCUCUCCAAUGCAUUAGCUAAAUUUUAAUUUAAUUUAUUUUUUUCUUUGCCUUUACAAUUAGUUCUAGAGUAAAAUAAAUAAAAAUAGAUCCGAUUGUUUCCUUUUACAAAAUUUGAGAAUUUUUUCAUAAAGAAUGUGAAGGGUUUACCAGUGAUUUAUUGCAUGAUUAUGAGGUUAAACUACGAUUAUAUAUGUUUAUGAGUCAUCGCAGCUGAGACUAUAAUAUUUUUCCCAGUUACGUCAAAAAGAUUUUAUACUUUUAUUGAAUUCAUUACUUUGAUUUUUAUUUAUUUAUUUCAUUUUUGAUCUUUUAAAAAGAUAACAUGUCGCAUAUCAUGCAAUAAUUCAGCCUCGUGCUCUUCCAGCUUGUGUUUUGUUCGGUUUGAUUUUUCUGAAUCAGCACCAGCAGCAAUUAUAAUUCGGUCAAGAAAUUGUAAACAGUUGAUAUAUUUCAUGAAUUUAAGUUUCUGGUUUGCCUGUGAUGCAUUUCCUAUUACACAUUAUCAGAGAUUAAUGAUGAUGAUGAUGAUACGAAAUUGUCACUACCUCUGAGCAAUUUACCAUGAAUUAUUAUCUAGAUUAUUUUAUAAAUUGUUGCACUUCCCAAGUUAUAUAUAUAUAUAUAUAUUAUUUUAUUUUAUUUUUUGCUUGUGUACCAAUGUUUGGACUAAUGUGGUUUUCCAUGCUUUCUCCAUUUGCAAAUCUACUUGAUGUAAUCUUUGUUGGUAGCUUUUUGAGUGAAAAUUGUUUAUAUUCAAGUUAUCUACCUUGUCUAAUCUUACAAGUUUGUUUCAUUUUACCAAUACUAGGUAAUCUGUGUGUUUUAUCAACGAAAACCUGUGGACCAUCCUUUUUGCUCAUUUGGUCCAAGACGGCACCAUCAGCCGCGAGACACAGUUCGGUGAGGUCAAUUUUUGUAUUUCGCUGAUUUUCUCUAUAUUAUUAUUAUUAAUUUUUUUUUUACAUGUGUGGAUUUUGCUCUUUAUUUUUUAUUUCAAUUUUUGGAUAUGUUAGGAAUUUGUUAUUUGAUUUUUAUUUUUUUUUAAAUUAAAGUUUUCUGUUUUUACUACAAUCUUCUCAAGGAAGAAUAAAUACUUUACUUUUGAUUCUUGAGGUUUCCUAGUCAUAUUUGAAUAAGGCCUAAUGUAUUUGUGAUGUAAGAAUAUCUCCAAGAGACUCUUUAAACUUGAAAUGUUCUCUAUUUUGAAGGGUCAAUCUCUUAAAUCAUGCUCCAAAAGACUCUUUAAUUUAACAUUUUUAUUUAGAGAAUUUGGAUAGCAAAACUCACUCUCUAUAAUUAAAUGCAUUCAAAUUAUUUCAAUUUUCAAUAUAAGAAAAUAAUAUAAUAAUUUAGAGAAAAGCUAGUUAAAAUAAAAGGUAGAGAAAAAUAAUAUAUAUUCUUUGGGAGUACUAAAAUUAAGUGUUAGAUAUAAAGAGCCUAUUGGAGUAUUUCAAAAAUUUUACUCUUUAAAUUUAUAGAUGUUCUCUAAAUAAUGGAAUAUCCUCUUUAAAAAUAGAGAUUGUCUUGGCGGUGCUGCAAAUAGAGGGGGGUCAUAAAUCGAUUGAUGGGCUUCAAGGGGCAGUUCUAGAGGUAAGUGCAUUACCUUGUUAUUUCUUCCGAUUUCUUGAACAUGGUUUGUUGCUCAUUGUCAUUUUAUAUUGCUGAAUAUUUGUUCUUUUGUGACUUGGUUUUGGAAUCAAUGCUCUUUUUGUUAUUAGUAUAUUUUAUUGGUCUUGUGGGGUUGUCUUAAAUUUCUUUUUUUUAAUCUCAUUUUUGCUCUUUAAACUUUCUUGAUAACAUUUGCUGUUUUUGUCUUGUGAGGUAGUCUUAGAUUAAAUUUAUGAUCUGGGUGGUGUUUGACAUUUGCUUGUUUAUGUGAUUUAAGCUGUCAAAAAUUUUAUUGUCUGUGGAAGUUGGAAGGAGGACUGCAGUGCUUGGGGUUGGAUGGAGAAAAACUCUGUUUCAUUUCAUGUAAGCAAAACUUAAUUUUCUGCCUUGGUAGCUGUUAAAAAGUUCAGUUUAUUGGAAGGAAAGAAAUCAAGAUCAAGAAAACAGCCUAUUGCUGAUGGCUCUGCGCACUUUGCAUUGGAUUCCGGGAAGAGUUCUAUUCCUACUGAACUCUCCUCUAUUAUAUUGGUAAGAUUUUUGUCUGUAUCUUCACUGUGAUUGUGACUGUCACUGUUAUUUUCAUUGUCUUCUCCCUUCUCUUCACCUUCACUCAUUUGCAUAAUUGGAUCAUAUUUUGAUGUAUCAAUCCUUGUGCAAACUGUUUAUGAAGCUUCGCCAAUUUCUGUUUCAGUGUUUUCAAAUUCUCUCUCUUUGCAGACCACUAAUUCCAAUUUGCUAUUUUCUUUCAUCUCCUAAUUAGUAGAAGUUCCCUCGUUUGUUACUUCGACUCCAAUAGCUCCUGACAUUGUCUUUUCUUUUUUUCUUUUUUCAUCUUUUUCAUCUUUUUCAUUUGUGAACAGUGCCAGUUACUCUAUAUAAUUUUUUGUCCACCUACAGAAGAUAGUAUCCCAUGAGGAAAAAGUUCGGUAAUUUUUUUUUUUGUGAAUCUAUCUUAUUGAUUUAACGCCCUGAAAAUGUAUCACUUUGUAGAAUGUAGUCUUCAGGUCUUGGCGGCAUACAACCCACUUGUAAGUGCUUCAUUUUCUUCAUUUCAACCUUUCUAUGUUAUGAGAGUUGUGAAAUUCUAUUACUAUGCACUAACUGCAAAGAGUCAUGUUUAUAUAAUGCAUAAUAUGAUGAAUGACUGCAAUUCUUAAAAUCUACAAUCAAUAACAUUAACCAGAAGAGAUCUCAAGGAUACGUGGUCUCAUUAAGUGAAGUCUACUUUAUAGACUUAUGCAAUUAUAUAUCCAAUCAAAUUUCCAUGAAAAUAGCAUUUCCCUAUCACAUUAGUAAAAUGCUUUCGAAUUAAUCCUUGCUACAUCCUUAUAAAAUUACCACCAUCCUGGGUAUUGAAAAAUGGUUACAUUCGUACUUAAAUAGCCUGGUGCUCACAUCUUUUCCCAUUUUAAAACAAAUAUUCUCUUGCAUAUCUUGUUUAUUUUUUGCCAUGAUUUUAUCAAUAUGAGCACCCUCAAUGUCGUCAUCAUCCUUGGUCAAGUCAAUUUCUUCUUCACGAUUCUUUGUUUCGUCUUUCAGCUUAAGUUUGAGAGGCAAUUUAUUAUCAAGCGUUGUUAUAUGUAUUCUCCCUUAAUAACUAUUAAAGAGCUAUCAGCAAUAGGCUUCUCAUUCUGGAGAAAGACUCUUCAAAUGGUUUGCUAAUCUGAAAAAUUGAGCAUUCUCCCUAACUAACAGUUACAGACACUUUUCUACCAAUUUGGCUGCCAGUUGACAGUUUGCUAAUCUUUUGCCAACCACACUCAAGUUUUCAUUUUGGAAUUCUCCCUUUAGUCAUGUGGUCUGUGCAAAAAAAAACUCUUGAAAUGGUUUAUUUAGAUAUUGUUGACCGUAGAGUAUCUGCAUUCAAAUUUUGUUCUGCAUCGAGACCUUGAAGUACGUUUAUGAAUACUGCUUUAUUAAUUUAUUUAUGUUUCUUGGAAAAUGGUUUUAUGAAUUGAUUUUCUGGUGAAGUUAAAUAGUACUUGAGAAGGCUAGAUUAUUUUUUCUUGCCAGACUUUGAUAAUACUUAAAUAAUUAAAUUGUCAAACUUGAGUGUAAGAUCUUUUGGAAAAUUAUGCGGUCUAUUUUUCUUGCCUAGGUAGUUGGAACUCCCAAUUACAUGUGAACUUAUAAAUGUUGCUUGUGAUUUUGAAUUUAAAAACUUAGUCCCUUGAUAUGUCUAUCAUAUAACGUUGCUACAUAAUUUAGUCUCUUCCAUUUUACUUAGCCUAUCGUUUCUUUCACAUAUGUCUAUUAAAAUCUAAUUGCCGUUCUUGCAGAUUUUCCCCAAGGCAGUAUUGACUUUGGUACAUUUUGCCACCAUAUUUACUAUCGCCCUCUCUGAAUUCAUUAGCAUUUAAUGAAUUACGCAUGUUUAAAAUGUGACAAAUCAGUGAUAUGUACAUUUAUACUGAAUAUAUUAUGAUCUAUGUAAGAAGGUUCAACUUUACCACAUGUUUUUCUUUGUGAAACCAUAUGUACCCAGAGAUCCCAUGCCAUUCAUGAUCUGUACAACUUUUUAACCAUUUGCCUAAUUCGCUACAUUUUUUUUACCACGAUCAAUAUUAAAACUUAUUUCUAGAUUAUAAGAUUAAAGUGGCUUUAAAAAAAAGUCAAAAUAC
rnacentral:lncRNA from 1 species